rnacentral:rRNA from 1 species
GAUGAACGCUGGCGGCGUGCCUAAUACAUCCAAGUCGAGCGAACAGACGAGGAGCUUGCUCCUCUGACGUUAGCGGCGGACGGGUGAGUAACACGUGGAUAACCUACCUAUAAGACUGGGAUAACUUCGGGAAACCGGAGCUAAUACCGGAUAAUAUAUUGAGCCGCAUGGUUCAAUAGUGAAAGACGGUUUUGCUGUCACUUAUAGAUGGAUCCGCGCCGCAUUAGCUAGUUGGUAAGGUAACGGCUUACCAAGGCAACGAUGCGUAGCCGACCUGAGAGGGUGAUCGGCCACACUGGAACUGAGACACGGUCCAGACUCCUACGGGAGGCAGCAGUAGGGAAUCUUCCGCAAUGGGCGAAAGCCUGACGGAGCAACGCCGCGUGAGUGAUGAAGGUCUUCGGAUCGUAAAACUCUGUUAUUAGGGAAGAACAAAUGUGUAAGUAACUAUGCACGUCUUGACGGUACCUAAUCAGAAAGCCACGGCUAACUACGUG